rnacentral:ncRNA from 2 species
AAAAGACUUAGUCCUAACCUUACCAUUAAUUAUUACUAAACAUAUACAUGCAAGUAUCAGCGUUCCAGUGUAAAUGCCCUCAAAACCUCACACUCAGGUAAGAGGAGCGGGUAUCAGGCACACCUAUCAUGUUGCCCAUAACACCUUGCUAUGCCACACCCCCACGGGUACUCAGCAGUAAUUAACAUUAAGCAAUGAGCGAAAGCUUGACUUAGUUAUAGUAAUUUAGGACCGGUAAAUCUUGUGCCAGCCACCGCGGUCAUACAAGAGGUCCAAAUUAAUGGUGUACGGCGUAAAGAGUGGGGAUAUGUUAUCAUAUCUAACUAAGAUCAAAAUGCAACCAAGCUGUCAUAAGCAUAAGAUGCACCUAAAACCUCCAUAAAAAUGAUCCUAGCACUACAAAUGGUCUAUUAUAACCCACGAAAGCUAAGAGACAAACUGGGAUUAGAUACCCCACUAUGCUUAGCCCUAAAUCUAGAUGCUUACACUACUAAAGCAUCCGCCUGAGAACUACGAGCACAAACGCUUAAAACUCUAAGGACUUGGCGGUGCCCUAAACCCACCUAGAGGAGCCUGUUCUAUAAUCGAUACUCCACGAUAUACCCAACCACCUCUUGCUACUACAGCCUAUAUACCGCCGUCGCCAGCUCGCCUAAUGAAAGAAUAACAGCGAGCACAAUAGUCACCCACUAACAAGACAGGUCAAGGUAUAGCCUAUGAGGUGGAAGAAAUGGGCUACAUUUUCUAAUAUUAGAAUAAACCUUUACACCAACGAAAGAGGUAAUGAAAUCUUCCCUCAGAAGGCGGAUUUAGCAGUAAACUAGAACUAGAAUGUCUACUUUAAGCUGGCUCUAGGGCACGUACAUACCGCCCGUCACCCUCCUCAUAAGCAAUUAUCUCCAUACAUAAUAACUUCUAACCUAGCUGAAGAUGAGGUAAGUCGUAACAAGGUAAGUGUACCGGAAGGUGUACUUAGCAUAUC